GGCCGCGGGAAUUCGAUUCAGGCCUAACACAUGCAAGUCGAGCGGUAGAGAGAAGCUUGCUUCUCUUGAGAACGGCGGACGGGUGAGUAAUGCCUAGGUAUCUGCCUGGUAGUGGGGGAUAACGUCCGGAAGCGGACGCUAAUACCGCAUACGGCCUACGGGAGAAAGCAGGGGGCCUUCGGGCCGUGCGCUAUCAGAUGAGCCUAGGUGGGAGUGGCUAGUUGGUGGGGUAAUGGCUCACCAAGGCGACGAUCCGUAACUGGUCUGAGAGGAUGAUCAGUCACACUGGAACUGAGACACGGUCCAGACUCCUACGGGAGGCAGCAGUGGGGAAUAUUGGACAAUG
rnacentral:rRNA from 1 species